rnacentral:lncRNA from 1 species
GAAGUCCUAGUCUGCAGGAUUAGGUCGGGGGCAAGGCUAUCAGUCCUCCAAGCUGAUCUGUGAUGAACAGCACUGCGCAGUCCUCUUGGUUCCUGGGCUGACCUCCUGGAGGAGGACAUAUUUCUGCGGAAGAUCACAGCCCCUAUUUAUAGGUCCCACCCUUCAAAGUUCUCACGUCCUCUACCCGCCAG